GUCAAGGGAACUGACAUUGCUUUCUUCCUAAUGUGCUUUCCUCAUAAUACACUAGAAGUCAAGCUGUCCUUAGAAGGAGCCUCUGCUGGGAUACAAGGGAAGCCCUUCAGCACCCCAUUCUUCCAAAGCCAGAGUUCUCUCCCUGAUUGAUUGGACAUCCUUUAGUUGUUUCCAGGUGUGGAAGUGAAUGUUUAUCUCCUACUGAAAUUUUAUGCACACAAGAUAUUGUGAAUUG